AUGGCGAAGUGGGGGAAGCGCCGGACGAGGACCUCGCCGCCGGCCACCACCAUCUCCGCAAACCCCGCCUCGUCCUCGCCGCACUUCCUACCGGACCUGAUCCCGCUGGUCGCGAGCCGGCUGACGACCCUCGAGGACUUCUUCGCCCUCCGCGCCGCCUGCCGCGCCUACCGGGCACGCCUCCCGCUGUCGUCGUCCAACCUCGCCUCGCAGGGCCCGCUCCUCCUCGUCCGCCACAAGGCCUCUACCUCGGAGGCUCUCUUCCACGUCCCCCUCCGCCGCAUCCUCCGCUUCCGCCUCCCUUGCGCCGGCCAGGGCCCCAUCCUCACCUGUCUCCGCUGGCUCUUCCCUGCCCGCGUCGGCGUCGCCCUUGGGAACCCUAGCCCCACCUCCUUCCACUCCUUCGGCUGCCGCGUCGCCAUCCAAGACGCCAGCCGCCCCGACCUCCGCAUCCGCCACCUACUCACAGGCAAGCGAGCCGGAGCCCGCCUCCCUGGACCGCCAGAAGAGUGUGACGCAGUUAUCUUUUCCGGCGACCUCAUCAUUGCAUUCACGCGAUGGCAGCCUGACAUCUACUACUGCCGCACCGGGGAUGCUCACUGGCGAGCGGCCUGGUGUGAUGGAGGCUACCAGCUUUACAGUCUGAUGUCCUUGAAAGGCACGCUCUAUGCGUUGACUUACCCGAAUUACGGCCUUGCGACCGUCGAGCUUGACAACAAUUCGGUGGUGUUAUCGUUUCUUGAAGAUAAACUGAGUGCGCAGACAGUUCUGAAUUGUUCGACUUUAUGGCUCGCAGAGUGCCACGGUCAGCUAUUGCUCGUUGUCAGAACCUCUACGUGCCAUGUUUUCCGGUGGAAGUCCGGGGAGAGGAAGUGGGCGAGGACCGAAAGCAUUGGCGGUUGCAGCUUGUUCUUUAAUUUGCAUGAAUUUGCCGGUUGUCUUGGUCCAGAUCAUCCGGCAGUUCGAAGGGACUGCUUGUACUUUACUGGGUGGUCUGGGAACUGGAGUGAGUAUUCUUUGGUUGAUGGAUCUUUGCAUGAGAACGUUGUCGACUACCCUGGGCAAGCAGCAAGGAAGAAUUAUGUACCACUGGCAUGGGUCCUUCCAAGCAUCUGCUGA
rnacentral:rRNA from 1 species